UGUAUUUUAAUACUUUGUUGGAAGCCACCCAGAGUGGCUGGGGAAGCCCAGCCAGAUGGGCAGGGUAUAAAUAAUAAAUAAAUAAAUAAUAAUAAUAAUAAUAAUAAUAAUAAUAAUAAUUUAUUAUUUGUACCCUGCCCAUCUGGCUGGGUUUCCCCAGCCACUCUGGAUGGCUUCCAACAAAGAUUAAAAAUAC